rnacentral:rRNA from 1 species
UACGAGGGGGGCAAGCGUUGUUCGGAAUUAUUGGGCGUAAAGGGCGCGUAGGCGGUGCGGUAAGUCACCUGUGAAAACUCUGGGCUCAACUCAGAGCCUGCAGGCGAAACUGCCGUGCUUGAGUGUGGGAGAGGUGAGUGGAAUUCCUGGUGUAGCGGUGAAAUGCGUAGAUAUCAGGAGGAACACCUGUGGCGAAAGCGGCUCACUGGACCAUAACUGACGCUGAUGCACGAAAGCUAGGGGAGCAAACAGG